GAAGAUAAGAGACUUUGUGGUGUUCUCUCCUUCGUGUGCUCAGAAGCUGCAUGUGGGCACCUCCACCAUGGCCUGGACCCCUGUCCUCCUCGCCCUCCUUGCUCACUGCUCAGGGUCCUGGGCACAGUCUGGGCUGACACAGGAAGCCUCAGUGUCAGGGUCUGUGGGACAGAAGGUCACCCUCACCUGCACUGGAAGCAGCAACAAUGUUGGAAGCUAUGGUGCAGGCUGGCACCAACAGGUUCCUGGUGCUGCCCCCAAAGCUGUGAUGCUC